rnacentral:sRNA from 1 species
CUGGCAAGGCUAUUUAUUUUUUUUUCUGGGACGCCUUCCUACGACGUUGUAGGAAGGCGUCCCAGAAAAAAAUUUAAAAUAGCCUUGCCAG